rnacentral:lncRNA from 1 species
GAGAAAUGAAGAUGGAAGAGAGUUACACACUCGUGUGCUUUCUCCAUCUCUCCAAUAUUAAAUCAUGAUUGAAGGAGACUCAAGCAGUGCUCACUUCUCGUAACUCUGUCAUCAGGUUCAACAUUUUGGCUGUGCUCUCAUCUUAUCUUUUUAAUUAAUCAUACAACCAUACUUUCUAUAUAUACUCUUUUUAAUUGUUCUAGUUUUUACAGUGUUUUCUCUUCAACCAGAUCUCAAUGUAUUUCUACAGACUCUCAUAUUUCUAAUGCUCUAUGAUCCUGCACUCUUGUGCAUAUGUACCAUGUUCUUGCUAUGUGUACCACAGCUUAUAAUGAGUGAAUAAAAUAUGUUUAUUUUGGUUCACUGAAGAUGUUUUAUUUUUGGUAAGUAAUGUGUAAUGGGUUAGUUGGGAUAUUUAAUGAUUUUCCACAAUAUAUACAUCCUUUUAAUAAAAGGGGGUCUAAUUAAAAUGUAUAGGUCAAAUGUAUAUGGGAUUUUAUGUUUGUCCCCUUUAGUUUUUGGACUAUUUUGGUUGGGUUGCACCUCUUUAUAUACCAUUAUAUCACAG